GUAGGUGGCAAGCGUUGUCCGGAAUUAUUGGGCGUAAAGCGCGCGCAGGUGGGUUCUUUAAGUCUGAUGUGAAAGCCCCCGGGCUCAACCGGGGAGGGUCAUUGGAAACUGGGGAACUUGAGUGCAGGAGAGGAAAGUGGAAUUCCACGUGUAGCGGUGAAAUGCGUAGAUAUGUGGAGGAACACUAGUGGCGAAGGCGACUUUCUGGCCUGUAACUGACACUGAGGCGCGAAAGCGUGGGGAGCAAACAGGAUUAGAUACCCUGGUAGUCCACGCCGUAAACGAUGAGUGCUAAGUGUUGGGGGGUUUCCGCCCCUCAGUGCUGCAGCUAACGCAUUAAGCACUCCGCCUGGGGAGUACGGUCGCAAGACUG
rnacentral:rRNA from 1 species